rnacentral:rRNA from 1 species
GUGGGUACCUACCUUUGGGUUCGGGAUAGCCAUCAGAGAUGGUGGGUAAUACCGGAUGACGUCGUGAGACCAAAGAUUUAUCGCCCGAAGAGGGGCCCACAUGAUAUUAGCUAGUUGGUGAGGUAACGGCUCACCAAGGCGAAGAUGUCUAGCGGGUGUGAGAGCACGACCCGCGCCACUCGCACUGAGACACUGGCGAGACACCUACGGGUGGCUGCAGUCGAGGAUCUUCGGCAAUGAGCGCAAGCUUGACCAAGCGACGCCGCGUGAGCGAUGAAGGCCUUCGGGUUGUAAAGCUCUUUAGUGGGGGAGAAAAGCCCGCAAGGGUGUGAUCUAUCCCAAAAAUAAGCACGGGCUAAGUUCGUGCCAGCAGCCGCGGUAAGACGAACCGUGCGAACGUUGUUCGGAAUAACUGGGCUUAAAGGGCGCGUAGGCGGGCUGACAAGUCUGGGGUGAAAUCCCGCGGCUCAACCGUGGAACUGCCUUAGAUACUGUCGGCCUC